UUGUCUGGAAGCCACAGCUAUGCCUUUUAAUUAUGGAAAACAAUGGUUUUAAAAUGACAUUUAUCUUCGGUUACAUCUAACUUCAUUUUUCAGUCGUGUGAACUAUAAAGGAAUUUGUACAGUGACAACAUGCUACCAAUCAAUCCAAACCAUAUACUGAGACGGCAAUCAUUUUCCCUUUAGUGUUUAAUUCAUCAUUAAAAAUAGAGUGACCAGAGGAGACUUCAGCACAAAUGUUCUCCUAGGAGGCCUCUGGGUGUGUGUGUGUCUGCUUGUACACAUCUGUGUGUGUACACAUUUGUUCCUGUUUUUGCUACAUAUCAUAUUGUCCAACGUUGGGACAAUCAAGUUUUUAUGAAGAGGAAUGUGUACUUCUGGUGUACCUGCACUCCAUUCUACGAGACAGAGAGGGAUCAGGGACUGGACAGGCCAGCAGUGAGAGACCAGCAUGAUGACUAACUCCAUCCACAGCUACUGUUGUUAUUGUUGUUGUUGAGUCAGUUGGACUAACUCCAUCCACAGCUACUGUUGUUAUUGUUGUUAUUGAGUCAGUUGGACUAACUCCAUCCACAGCUACUGUUGUUAUUGUUGUUAUUGAGUCAGUUGGACUAACUCCAUCCACAGCUACUGUUGUUAUUGUUGUUGUUGAGUCAGUUGGACUAACUCCAUCCACAGCUACUGUUGAUAUUGUUGUUGUUGAGUCAGUUGGACUAACUCCAUCCACAGCUACUGUUGAUAUUGUUGUUGUUGAGUCAGUUGGACUAACUCCAUCCACAGCUACUGUUGAUAUUGUUGUUGUUGAGUCAGUUGGACUAGCUCCAUCCACAGCUACUGUUGUUAUUGUUGCCAGUUGGACUAGAUCCAUCCACAGCUACUGUUGUUAUUGUUGUUGUUGAGUCAGUUGGACAAGCUCCAUCCACAGCUACUGUUGAUAUUGUUGUUGUUGAGUCAGUUGGACUAACUCCAUCCACAGCUACUGUUGAUAUUGUUGUUGUUGAGUCAGUUGGACUAACUCCAUCCACAGCUACUGUUGAUGUUGUUGUUGAGUCAGUUGGACUAACUCCAUCCACAGCUACUGUUGAUAUUGUUGUUAUUGUUGUCAGUUGGACUAGCUCCAUCCACAGCUACUGCUGUUAUUGUUGUUGUUGAGUCAGUUGGACUAACUCCAUCCACAGCUACUGUUGAUAUUGUUGUUAUUGAGUCAGUUGGACUAACUCCAUCCACAGCUACUGUUGAUGUUGUUGUUGUCAGUUGGACUAACUCCAUCCACAGCUACUGUUGAUAUUGUUGUUAUUGUUGUCAGUUGGACUAACUCCAUCCACAGCUACUGUUGAUAUUGAGUCAGUUGGACUAACUCCAUCCACAGCUACUGUUGAUAUUGAGUCAGUUGGACUAACUCCAUCCACAGCUACUGUUGAUAUUGAGUCAGUUGGACUAACUCCAUCCACAGCUACUGUUGUUAUUGAGUCAGUUGGACUAACUCCAUCCACAGCUACUGUUGUUAUUGUUGAGUCAGUUGGACUAACUCCAUCCACAGCUACUGUUGUUAUUGAGUCAGUUGGACUAGCUCCAUCCACAGCUACUGUUGAUAUUGUUGUUAUUGAGUCAGUUGGACUAACUCCAUCCACAGCUACUGUUGUUAUUGUUGAGUCAGUUGGACUAGCUCCAUCCACAGCCACUGCUGUUAUUGUUGUUGUUGAGUCAGUUGGACUAACUCCAUCCACAGCUACUGUUGAUAUUGUUGUUGUUGAGUCAGUUGGACUAACUCCAUCCACAGCUACUGUUGAUAUUGUUGUUGUUGAGUCAGUUGGACUAACUCCCUCCACAGCUACUGUUGUUAUUGUUGUCAGUUUGACUAACUCCAGCCACAACUACUGUUGUUAUUGAGUCAGUUGGACUAGCUCCAUCCACAGCUACUGUUGAUAUUGUUGUUGUUGAGUCAGUUGGACUAACUCCAUCCGCAGCUACUGUUGAUAUUGUUGUUGUUGAGUCAGUUGGACUAGCUCCAUCCACAGCUACUGUUGUUGUUAUUGAGUCAGUUGGACUAGCUCCAUCCACAGCUACUGUUGAUAUUGUUGUUGUUGAGUCAGUUGGACUAGCUCCAUCCACAGCUACUGUUGAUAUUGUUGUUAUUGUUGUCAGUUGGACUAGCUCCAUCCACAGCUACUGUUGUUAUUGUUGUCAGUUGGACUAGAUCCAUCCACAGCUACUGUUGAUAUUGUUGUUGUUGAGUCAGUUGGACUAACUCCAUCCACAGCUACUGUUGAUAUUGUUGUUAUUGUUGUCAGUUGGACUAACUCCAUACACAGCUACUGUUGUUAUUGUUGUUAUUGAGUCAGUUGGACUAACUCCAUCCACAGCUACUGUUGAUAUUGUUGUUGUUGAGUCAGUUGGACUAGCUCCAUCCACAGCUACUGUUGAUAUUGUUGUUAUUGAGUCAGUUGGACUAACUCCAUCCACAGCUACUGUUGAUAUUGUUGUUGUUGAGUCAGUUGGACUAACUCCAUCCACAGCUACUGUUGUUAUUGUUGUUGUUGAGUCAGUUGGACUAGCUCCAUCCACAGCUACUGUUGUUAUUGUUGUUGUUGAGUCAGUUGGACUAGCUCCAUCCACAGCUACUGUUGAUAUUGUUGUUGUUGAGUCAGUUGGACUAGCUCCAUCCACAGCUACUGUUGUUGUUAUUGAGUCAGUUGGACUAACUCCAUCCACAGGUACUGUUGUUAUUGAGUCAGUUGGACUAGCUCCAUCCACAGCUACUGUUGAUAUUGUUGUUGUUGAGUCAGUUGGACUAACUCCAUCCACAGCUACUGUUGAUAUUGUUGUUGUUGAGUCAGUUGGACUAGCUCCAUCCACAGCUACUGUUGAUAUUGUUGUUGUUGAGUCAGUUGGACUAGCUCCAUCCACAGCUACUGUUGAUAUUGUUGUUAUUGAGUCAGUUGGACUAACUCCAUCCACAGCUACUGUUGUAUUGUUGUUAUUGUUGUCAGUUGGACUAGCUCCAUCCACAGCUACUGUUGUUAUUGUUGUUGGGUCAGUUGGACUAGCUCCAUCCACAGCUACUGUUGAUAUUGUUGUUGUUGAGUCAGUUGGACUAACUCCAUCCACAGCUACUGUUGAUAUUGUUGAGUCAGUUGGACUAACUCCAUCCACAGCUACUGUUGUUAUUGUUGUUUCAGUUGGACUAACUCCAUCCACAGCUACUGUUGAUAUUGUUGAGUCAGUUGGACUAACUCCAUCCACAGCUACUGUUGAUAUUGUUGUUAUUGAGUCAGUUGGACUAACUCCAUCCACAGCUACUGUUGAUAUUGUUGUUUCAGUUGGACUAACUCCAUCCACAGCUACUGUUGAUAUUGUUGUUGUUGAGUCAGUUGGACUAACUCCAUCCACAGCUACUGUUGAUAUUGUUGUUGUUGAGUCAGUUGGACUAGCUCCAUCCACAGCUACUGUUGUUAUUGUUGUUGUUGAGUCAGUUGGACUAGCUCCAUCCACAGCUACUGUUGAUAUUGUUGUUGUUGAGUCAGUUGGACUAGCUCCAUCCACAGCUACUGUUGUUAUUGUUGAGUCAGUUGGACUAGCUCCAUCCACAGCUACUGUUGUUGUUGUUGUUGAGUCAGUUGGACUAACUCCAUCCACAGCUACUGUUGUUGUUGUUGAGUCAGUUGGACUAACUCCAUCCACAGCUACUGUUGUUAUUGAGUCAGUUGGACUAGCUCCAUCCACAGCUACUGUUGAUAUUGUUGUUGUUGAGUCAGUUGGACUAACUCCAUCCACAGCUACUGUUGAUAUUGUUGUUGUUGAGUCAGUUGGACUAGCUCCAUCCACAGCUACUGUUGUUGUUGUUGAGUCAGUUGGACUAGCUCCAUCCACAGCUACUGUUGAUAUUGUUGUUGUUGAGUCAGUUGGACUAGCUCCAUCCACAGCUACUGUUGAUAUUGUUGUUAUUGUUGUCAGUUGGACUAGCUCCAUCCACAGCUACUGUUGUUAUUGUUGUCAGUUGGACUAGCUCCAUCCACAGCUACUGUUGAUAUUGUUGUUGUUGAGUCAGUUGGACUAACUCCAUCCACAGCUACUGUUGAUAUUGUUGUUAUUGUUGUCAGUUGGACUAGCUCCAUCCACAGCUACUGUUGUUAUUGUUGUUAUUGAGUCAGUUGGACUAACUCCAUCCACAGCUACUGUUGAUAUUGUUGUUGUUGAGUCAGUUGGACUAGCUCCAUCCACAGCUACUGUUGAUAUUGUUGUUAUUGAGUCAGUUGGACUAACUCCAUCCACAGCUACUGUUGAUAUUGUUGUUGUUGAGUCAGUUGGACUAACUCCAUCCACAGCUACUGUUAUUGUUGUCAGUUGGACUAGCUCCAUCCACAGCUACUGCUGUUAUUGUUGUUGUUGAGUCAGUUGGACUAACUCCAUCCACAGCUACUGUUGAUAUUGUUGUUAUUGAGUCAGUUGGACUAACUCCAUCCACAGCUACUGUUGAUAUUGUUGUUGUUGAGUCAGUUGGACUAACUCCAUCCACAGCUACUGUUGUUAUUGUUGUUGUUGAGUCAGUUGGACUAGCUCCAUCCACAGCUACUGUUGUUAUUGUUGUUGUUGAGUCAGUUGGACUAGCUCCAUCCACAGCUACUGUUGAUAUUGUUGUUGUUGAGUCAGUUGGACUAGCUCCAUCCACAGCUACUGUUGUUAUUGUUGUCAGUUGGACUAGCUCCAUCCACAGCUACUGUUGAUAUUGUUGUUAUUGAGUCAGUUGGACUAACUCCAGCUACUGUUGUUAUUGUUAAGUCUUGUCUCUACGCUGCCAGCAUCUCUCUGUUCUCCUUGUUCCUUGCUGGUCUUCUCUCUUGAGAACAAAAAAACAUGGUCAGGGACUGUAUCUACAAAGUGUCUCAGAGUAAGAGUGCUGAUCUAGGAUCAGGUCCCUCUGUUCAUAUAAUCCUAUUAAUAAAUGACGUAAAAAGGCCAAACUGUUCCUAGAUCAGCUUUUACUGUG
rnacentral:lncRNA from 1 species